CAACCCUCAAGCACUGCUUGGUAUUGGAUGCCACCAUCAUGGUGUGUCUUAAAAAUAUUAGCAGUGGCAUUCAGCUUCUAGUGUAGUAAGUUUUCUCGCUGUGGAGUCUGGGUGCUAACCUGCUAGAACCCCUAAUUUAUCAAA
rnacentral:misc_RNA from 1 species